rnacentral:sRNA from 1 species
GAGCGGGGCCCGGGGCCCCUAAGCCGUGAGUGCCUCCGCGUGGGGGUCUGGAACGGGUAGCGCUGCCGGUGCAGAUUCCUGAAGUCAUGGGCUGGCCAGGACAUUGGUGACCCGCCAAUCCGGCAUGGACGACUGGAAGCCCAGCCCCCUCAUCAAGCCCUUUGGGGCUCGGAAGAAGCGGAGCUGGUACCUUACCUGGAAGUAUAAACUGACAAACCAGCGGGCCCUGCGGAGAUUCUGUCAGACAGGAGCCGUGCUUUUCCUGCUGGUGACUGUCAUUGUCAAUAUCAAGUUGAUCCUGGACACUCGGCGAGCCAUCAGUGAAGCCAAUGAAGACCCAGAGCCAGAGCAAGACUAUGAUGAGGCCCUAGGCCGCCUGGAGCCCCCACGGCGCAGAGGCAGCGGUUCCCGGCGGGUCCUGGACGUAGAGGUGUAUUCAAGUCGCAGCAAAGUAUAUGUGGCAGUGGAUGGCACCACGGUGCUGGAGGAUGAGGCCCGGGAGCAGGGCCGGGGCAUCCAUGUCAUUGUCCUCAACCAGGCCACGGGCCACGUGAUGGCAAAACGUGUGUUUGACACGUACUCACCUCAUGAGGAUGAGGCCAUGGUGCUGUUCCUCAACAUGGUAGCACCUGGCCGAGUGCUCAUCUGCACUGUCAAGGAUGAGGGCUCCUUCCACCUCAAGGACACAGCCAAGGCUCUGCUGAGGAGCCUAGGCAGCCAGGCUGGCCCUGCCCUGGGCUGGAGGGACACAUGGGCCUUCGUGGGACGAAAAGGAGGUCCUGUCCUCGGGGAGAAACAUUCUAAGUCACCUGCCCUCUCCUCCUGGGGGGACCCAGUCCUGCUGAA